GACAGAGGUGCCGAGCGUUAGGCGGAAUCACUGGGCUUAAAGCGUGUGUAGGCGGGCGAUCAAGUACCUUGUGAAAUCCCACGGCUCAACCGUGGAACCGCUGGGUAUGCUGGUUGUCUUGAGCCGGCUAGGGGCGAGCGGAACAGACGGUGGAGCGGUGAAAUGCGUAGAUAUCGUCUGGAACGCCGAAGGUGAAAACAGCUCGCUGGGGCCGCGCUGACGCUGAGACACGAAAGCCAGGGGAGCGAACGGG
rnacentral:rRNA from 1 species